rnacentral:rRNA from 1 species
UAGAUGAUUUAUUUAUUUUAUUAGUGGGUAUAGCACUGAAUAUCUAGUAAUAAGAAUUACAAGAAGGGAGUAUGAAAGUACUUACUUUGGAUAUUUAAUCUCAGAAUAACUAAUAAGAUAAUUAGAUAAGUUAUCAGACUUUUUGCGAUAAGGUGAA